rnacentral:rRNA from 1 species
GAUGAACGCUGGCGGCGUGCCUAAUACAUGCAAGUCGAGCGAACAGACGAGGAGCUUGCUCCUCUGACGUUAGCGGCGGACGGGUGAGUAACACGUGGAUAACCUACCUAUAAGACUGGGAUAACUUCGGGAAACCGGAGCUAAUACCGGAUAAUAUAUUGAACCGCAUGGUUCAAUAGUGAAAGACGGUUUUGCUGUCACUUAUAGAUGGAUCCGCGCCGCAUUAGCUAGUUGGUAAGGUAACGGCUUACCAAGGCAACGAUGCGUAGCCGACCUGAGAGGGUGAUCGGCCACACUGGAACUGAGACACGGUCCAGACUCCUACGGGAGGUAGCAGUAGGGAAUCUUCCGCAAUGGGCGAAAGCUUGACGGAGCAACGCCGCGUGAGUGAUGAAGGUCUUCGGAUCGUAAAACUCUGUUAUUAGGGAAGAACAAAUGUGUAAGUAACUAUGCACGUCUUGACGGUACCUAAUCAGAAAGCCACGGCUAACUACGU